rnacentral:rRNA from 1 species
UACGGAGGGUGCAAACGUUGCUCGGAAUCAUUGGGCGUAAAGCGCACGUAGGCGGCCCAGCAAGUCGGGUGUGAAAGCCCUCGGCUUAACCGAGGAAGUGCAUUCGAAACUACUGAGCUUGAAUACUAGAGAGGAUCGCGGAAUUCCCGGUGUAGAGGUGAAAUUCGUAGAUAUCGGGAGGAACACCAGUGGCGAAGGCGGCGAUCUGGACAGAUAUUGACGCUGAGGUGCGAAAGCGUGGGGAGCAAACAGG